rnacentral:rRNA from 1 species
UACGGAGGGUGCAAGCGUUGUUCGGAAUUACUGGGCGUAAAGCGCGCGUAGGCGGCUCUUUAAGUCUCACUGUGAAAGACCGGGGCUCAACCCCGUGCGAGCAGGGGAUACUGGAGGGCUAGAGACCGGUAGAGGCCAGCGGAAUUUCGGGUGUAGCGGUGGAAUGCGUAGAGAUCCGAAAGAACACCGGAGGCGAAGGCGGCUGGCUGGGCCGGGUCUGACGCUGAGGUGCGAAAGCGUGGGGAGCGAACAGG